UGUAAAGCUCUUUUAGUCGGAAAGAAAGAGUUGCAAUGAAUAAUUGUGAUUUAUGACGGUACCGACAGAAAAAGCACCGGCUAACUACGUGCCAGCAGCCGCGGUAAUACGUAGGGUGCGAGCGUUAAUCGGAAUUACUGGGCGUAAAGGGUGCGCAGGCGGUCUUGCAAGUCAGAUGUGAAAGCCCCGGGCUUAACCUGGGAAUUGCGUUUGAAACUACAAGGCUAGAGUGCAGCAGAGGGGAGUGGAAUUCCAUGUGUAGCAGUGAAAUGCGUAGAGAUGUGGAAGAACACCGAUGGCGAAGGCAGCUCCCUGGGUUGACACUGACGCUCAUGCACGAAAGCGUGGGGAGCAAACAGGAUUAGAUACCCUGGUAGUCCACGCCCUAAACGAUGUCAACUAGUUGUCGGAUCUAAUUAAGGAUUUGGUAACGUAGCUAACGCGUGAAGUUGACCGCCUGGGGAGUACGGUCGCAAGAUUAAAACUCAAAGGAAUUGACG
rnacentral:rRNA from 1 species